rnacentral:rRNA from 1 species
AUUGAACGCUGGCGGAAUGCUUUACACAUGCAAGUCGAGCGGCAGCGCGGGGCAACCUGGCGGCGAGCGGCGAACGGGUGAGUAAUGUAUCGGAACGUACCCAGUCGUGGGGGAUAACUAUCCGAAGGAUAGCUAAUACCGCAUACGUCCUGAGGGAGAAAGCGGGGGAGUCGCAAGACCUCGCGCGAUUGGAGCGGCCGAUAUCGGAUUAGCUAGUUGGUGAGGUAAAGGCUCACCAAGGCGACGAUCCGUAGCUGGUCUGAGAGGACGACCAGCCACACUGGAACUGAGACACGGUCCAGACUCCUACGGGAGGCAGCAGUGGGGAAUUUUGGACAAUGGGGGGCAACCCUGAUCCAGCCAUUCCGCGUGAGUGAAGAAGGCCUUCGGUUGUAAG